GGGGGUGUAGCUCAGUGGUAGAGCACAUACUUAUAAGCAUGCAGGAGGACUUAGGUUCAAACCCCAACAACACCU
rnacentral:tRNA from 1 species